rnacentral:rRNA from 1 species
UACGGGGGGAGCAAGCGUUGUUCGGAUUUACUGGGCGUAAAGGGCGCGUAGGCGGCCAGCACAAGUCAGUUGUGAAAUCUCCGGGCUUAACUCGGAAAGGUCAACUGAUACUGCGGGGCUAGAGUGCGGAAGGGGCAACUGGAAUUCUCGGUGUAGCGGUGAAAUGCGUAGAUAUCGAGAGGAACACCUGCGGCGAAGGCGGGUUGCUGGGCCGACACUGACGCUGAGGCGCGAAAGCCAGGGGAGCGAACGGG